AGUGAACGCUGGCGGUAGGCCUAACACAUGCAAGUCGAACGGCAGCACAGGAGUGCUUGCUCUCUGGGUGGCGAGUGGCGGACGGGUGAGGAAUACAUCGGAAUCGGCCCAGUCGUGGGGGAUAACGUAGGGAAACUUACGCUACUACCGCAUACGACCUUCGGGUGAAAGAGGGGGAUCGCAAGACCUCUCGCGAUUGGAUGAGCCGAUGUCGGAUUAGCUAGUUGGCGGGGUAAUGGCCCACCAAGGCGACGAUCCGUAGCUGGUCUGAGAGGAUGAUCAGCCACACUGGAACUGAGACACGGUCCAGACUCCUACGGGAGGCAGCAGUGGGGAAUAUUGGACAAUGGGCGAAAGCCUGAUCCAGCCAUACCGCGUGGGUGAAGAAGGCCUUCGGGUUGUAAAGCCCUUUUGUUGGGAAAGAAAUCUUUCAGGCUAAUACCCUGGGAGGAUGACGGUACCAAAAGAAUAAGCGCCGGCUAACUUCGUG
rnacentral:rRNA from 1 species